rnacentral:rRNA from 1 species
AGCGAACGCUGGCGGCAGGCUUAACACAUGCAAGUCGAGCGGGCACUUUCGGGUGUCAGCGGCGGACGGGUGAGUAACGCGUGGGAACGUGCCCUCUGGUUCGGAAUAACUCAGGGAAACUUGAGCUAAUACCGGAUACGCCCUUUUGGGGAAAGGCUUGCUGCCGGAGGAUCGGCCCGCGUCUGAUUAGCUAGUUGGUGAGGUAACGGCUCACCAAGGCGACGAUCAGUAGCUGGUCUGAGAGGAUGAUCAGCCACACUGGGACUGAGACACGGCCCAGACUCCUACGGGAGGCAGCAGUGGGGAAUAUUGGACAAUGGGCGCAAGCCUGAUCCAGCCAUGCUGCGUGAGUGAUGAAGGCCUUAGGGUUGUAAAGCUCUUUUAUCCGGGACGAUAAUGACGGUACCGGAGGAAUAAGCCCCGGCUAACUUCGUG